GUCCUUGUCGAUUAGUGGUUAGAUCAUCACGUUGUGGUAUCACGUGCUCCGUGAAGACGGAGGCUCGAAUCCUCCCUGGGACA